rnacentral:lncRNA from 12 species
GUUCCUUAUUGCACAGGGUACUGCAGAGUGCGCUGAUUGCUUUGGUUUGUUGGUUGUUUUAUGGAAACUCUGCCCGCAGAGACUCUCCCCGAUAAGGCUCAUCCGCAGUGCUGAUGACGACAGUGGUGGUAAUGAUGAUAUAAUCCCCUGGAAUACUGGAUCCUAUGAACAUGAAAGCAGCAGGGCAAACCUCAUCUGA